AUGAACGCUGGCGGCGUGCCUAAUACAUGCAAGUCGAGCGAACAGACGAGGAGCUUGCUCCUCUGACGUUAGCGGCGGACGGGUGAGUAACACGUGGAUAACCUACCUAUAAGACUGGGAUAACUUCGGGAAACCGGAGCUAAUACCGGAUAAUAUAUUGAACCGCAUGGUUCAAUAGUGAAAGACGGUUUUGCUGUCACUUAUAGAUGGAUCCGCGCCGCAUUAGCUAGUUGGUAAGGUAACGGCUUACCAAGGCGACGAUGCGUAGCCGACCUGAGAGGGUGAUCGGCCACACUGGAACUGAGACACGGUCCAGACUCCUACGGGAGGCAGCAGUAGGGAAUCUUCCGCAAUGGGCGAAAGCCUGACGGAGCAACGCCGCGUGAGUGAUGAAGGUCUUCGCAUCGUAAAACUCUGUUAUUAGGGAAGAACAAAUGUGUAAGUAACUAUGCACGUCUUGACGGUACCUAAUCAGAAAGCCACGGCUAACUACGUG
rnacentral:rRNA from 1 species